GACGAACGCUGGCGGCGUGCUUAACACAUGCAAGUCGAACGGAAAGGCCUGUCCUUCCUUGUGUUGGACGGGUACUCGAGUGGCGAACGGGUGAGUAACACGUGAGUGAUCUGCCCCCAACUUGGGUAUAAGCCUGGGAAACUGGGUCUAAUUCCCGAUAGGACUGCAGGGUGGUGCCUGUGGUGGAAAACGAUUUUCUAGUGGUUGGGGAUGAGCUCGCGGCCUAUCAGCUUGUUGGUGGGGUAAUGGCCUACGAAGGCGGCGACGGGUAGCCGGCCUGGGAGGGUGGACGGCCACAUUGGGACUGAGAUACGGCCCGGACUCCUGCGGGAGGCAGCAGUGGGGAAUAUUGCACAAUGGGCGGAAGCCUGAUGCAGCGACGCCGCGUGGGGGAUGACGGCCUUCGGGUUGUAAACUCCUUUCGACCUCGAGGAAGCCGCCUGGUUGGAAGGGUGGUGACGGUAGUGGUAGAAGAAGCACCGGCUAACUACGUG
rnacentral:rRNA from 1 species